CAUACACAUAAUUAAAAAAUAGAAACAUUAAAGGAGUUCCAAUCAAUCCUUAUUCUUUUCUGUAUUCAGUAUGCCCAGAUGUAAAUUCUAGGAAUAUGUUUUAAAGGCUAAUUCUUAUUUUGUAAUAAGCAGCUUUAAAAUUCUUAAUUGUUUUUUCGGGUCACUUUAUUGUCCUAUUGCCACGACAUUGUCCUGUCCCAUUGUCUGUUAUUCCUUCUGUUUUGUUUAUUGUUCCCUAGUUACUUUGAUCAUGAGAUUGACCUGUUACCCGUUGUUAUUCUCUGUAGCCAUUUUGAGUUGUGUCUAUUAGAACAGCUGUUAAAUUACUUGAAUCAUUGAGGACAUAGUCAAUAAUCUAUUAUGCUGAUACCAGUCAAGUCUAUGAGUUAUUUGAAAACUAGAAUCUUUGUUAAUUAUUUGUUUGCUUGUUUGUUUGUUUAUUAUUUGUCUAGAAUGUAAAAGAAUCACUGAAGAAGCCAGAAACUAGAAACUUUACUCCUGAAGAAUUCUUUAGUAUUUUCAAUAGAUCCAUUGAUGCCUUCAAGGACUUCAUGGUGGCAUCUGACACUAGUGAUUGUGUGCUCUCUUCAACAUUAGGUCCUGAGAAAGGGAAAGCCGCAAAGUCCCCUGAAGACCCAGGCCUACAAUGGACAGCAAUGGCACUGCCGGCUCUCAUUUCGCUUGUAAUUGGCUUUGCUUUUGGAGCCUUAUACUGGAAGAAGAAACAGUCAAGUCUUACAAGGGCAGUUGAAAAUAUACAGAUUAAUGAAGAGGAUAAUGAGAUAAGUAUGUUGCAACAGAAAGAGAGAGAGUUUCAAGAGGUGUAAUUGUGGAUGUAUCAACAUUGUUACCUUCGCACAGUGGCUGGUAACAGUUCAUGUUUGCUUCAUAAAUGAAGCAGCUUUAAACAAAUUCCUAUUCCUGUCUCAAGUGACAGACCUCAUCUUUACCUGUUCUUGCUACCCGUGACCUUGUAUGGAUGACUCAGAAGUUGGAGCAGAGUGUUUUGCUGUGAAACCUGCACUGAAUUAUCAUCUGUAAAGAAGAAGUUGCACGGAGCAGGACUCUGAAGGUUUUGCAAGUGAUGAUGGGGACGAGAACACGUGUCCAGUCUACUUGCGCCAUUCGCAUGGCUUGGGAAAUGUCUGAAGUGCUGAAAACCCGCCCAGCUUUGUUCAUUAGUUAACAACCUGCAGCCCGUAGUUUAAUUAUGGUCUCUACAAGUAGAUUUCAGCCUGGAUAGUUGGGGGGGGAGGGGGCAUUUUUUUUUCACAAAGGGAUGUAGAAAACAAUUUAAAGAAACAGUAACUCCGUAGCAUCAGCCACUGUAUGGAGUUGAAAGCCAUGGGGAGUAUUUUUCUUUUUCUUUUGAGCAGGCUCAUUCGUCUGCUCUGUAGUUAUGGAUUAACAAGAGCAGCCUAAAUGUCAGCUCUUCCAUGACGUAAGUCAUGUGCAUCAUAUCUGACUAGAAAGGUGGACAUGGGUAGCUAGUUCUAUCCAAGCAGUGGAGCCCGUGCUGAACUGCAGUAUGAUGCCACGGUGUAUGGAAGAUUCUCUGGAAGAGUCUUUACAGGAAAAAAUUGUCAAUGUGGACCAGCGGAAGAACAUGCCAAGGAAGACAUUUGGCUCCUAGUGAAGCCGGUCUUUUCCCUUGACAGUCACUCUAGAGUGUGUAAAUCAUGUUUGCAAAGAUAUAAUGUGACACGUUUUAUGUUUUGAAACUACUGCAGAUUUGGGAGAAAAUGCUGAAUGUUUAAGGAUUCCAUUUUUUUUUUCUAAAUCCUGAUGGGAGAGAAUAAGAAUGAAUGAUGGUAUUUAGUACCUAAGAUUAGAAAUAGACACUUUAUUCUAAUAUGGGAGUUGCAAACUAAGUCACUCGUAUUCUGCAAGAGUGCAAGGAGUCAGAAAACAUUAGUUAUUUGCAGUAUAACCAUUAUCUCUUUAAACAUAGCCAUUUAUUUAAAAUCUGGCACUCUGUAUACAUUAAGGUUUAUGAAAUGAAAUAGAGAGAGCUUUUAUGUAUUUGUGCAUGUCAGUUUGCUAUUUAACAUGUGUGACAGCAUUUCUCAUAUUAGACAGAAAUUGGCAGCGAUUCCACGACGAACAUUGCGCUUUCAAAGCAGAAUUUACCACAUGUGCUAGCGAUGCCCCUGCUUGAACUAUAUUGAAAGCAAUUGGCUAAAAUCAAACUAUGACUUUUCUUCUGCCUUUAUUUUUGGUGAAGACUCUUUUCACCUACCCUAGACCUACGAAGUUUAAAGCUUUUCACACUAUAACUUCAUUCUUGCUAGUAGUUUUAUUUGCCCAGUGCUAAAACCUUAAGACAAACCAUUUUCAAUGUAAUGACACAGAAGUGCAUGGAAACCUAACUGCUAGCUUCUAUUCUGUCUUGGAGCUGCAUGAAAAGUUGUAGCUUAAAUGCUCAAAGCUCGUCCAAGUACAAACCCAGUACAUGGUGGCUGCUCUUCUUUGUACCAAAGAGUUCAAAUGGUUUCUAUGGCUCCUUCUCUAAUGCUCCGAGGUUCCUCCAAUACUAUCAUUCCUGCAAUAUGAAGCCCCAAGACACUGUAUUUACUUGUUUGAGCUCUCAGAUUAGUCCAGGAUAGAACUGAUUAGGAAUCAGUGAGAAAUCAGCUCAGUUACUGAAAGGGCCUAGAUUGUUGCUUGGCAUUGAUUGCUCUGAGAGUAAAAGUAGCAGGAGGGCACCAUGAGUCACAGGUAUAGGUGUAUAUAGGUUGAGCCUAUUGUUACCUCUCAGUUUUGUGGCUUCGUUUAUUUAUCUGGUAGUUUCAUUUUGCUCAGGCUUAUGAAGAUGCUAUCUACUGGACUUGAGAGUACAAUAAAUAGACAUUUCUACUCAAAGCUAGCAGUUGGAUUUUAACACUCACAAGCCCGGUCUUAAUCAGUAGCACUAAAUAAACAAAUUCAACAGGUCGUAGUAUCGGACAUGGUAGAAGGUGAACGACGUGUCUUGCGUAUUAAACAUGUCGGUUCACUGAGAAUAACAUAGAUUGUCAAUUUUUUUAAAAAUGCUAAGGUUCAAUAAAAUGCAUGAACAAUAGGAAACUGCUGAACAUUAUUUUGAAUGCUAGCUGCUUGGACAUUAACUACGGCAUAUCUGCUUCCAGAUUAAAAGUGCGUAUCCUUCGCCUAGCGUAUCUCAUGUAUGCUCUGAAUAUUUCUCUUAAAUUAUGAAAACCCCACAACUGAGAAGAUAAAAGUAUAAAAUCGCCCUUUAAAUUGCCCAUUUUUCUGAGAGUUCUCUUUUGUAAUGUGUCCAGUUUGAUUCUUGAAAAAUGAUCUAAGAAAUCUGCAGCCUUGUGUCUCCUUGGUGGGAAGCAAGCCCAUAGCAAGACUAUUUGUGUGAUCAGUGGGUAGUGUUAGAGCAGUCCUGGUUUUUGUAUUGUUAUCUAACAUGCUUAACACACUGCCAUGUUUUAAUGAACCACAGAAGAACUGAAGCUUUCUAUUAGUAAUAAAAAAAAACCUUAAAUUUUGCAUUACAAAAAGUAUUGCGUAGGAGAAAAAAAUGAAAAUACAUAAAAGUAUGUGUCCACUUUGAGAUAAGAAUUAAACACACUUCGGUGAACUUUCACAUGCUUUGAAAGAAACAAUUUCACGUGCGUCGCAGAGUUUGGUACCCGAAUUCAAUCGAAGUUAUAAAUGAAUGGAAGAAUCUUUUGUGGAAUCUUUGAUUGUUUUCCACUCUGUUUCUCACAGUAGGUUUUGAUUUCAUGACUUAAUUCUGAUACGGAAUCUUAGCUAUCCUGUACACAGUGUUGAAGAAAUAUGUUUUUCAAAUUAGGCAGUUAGGUGUAGGUGGGUGAACAUUGAGAGAGAUAGCCAGGAGGUUGGUCUACUUUGCCACAAAUGGAUAUAAUGUCCCCACUCUCUUUGGAUCUCAGUGUUGUCUUUGUGUGUAGAUAGGUCAGAGGUCACUCUUCUUCGGGAGUGAGCCCUUAUGCCACACAGUUAACAAAGCAAAGAAAACAGCAAAAAGAAUCCUAAAAAAAAUACCUGGCUCUGGCUUCUGAACAAUAGUUUGGACAAUGAGAAGUCCUUGCUGUUUUAGUUUCUAGUGUAAAUAGGGUCCAUUAGUAAAAGUGAAUUCAGUCUUAGGUCGGGUGGAUUGGACAACCAUUUACACAUAAGAUGGCUUUUAUCUUUGCUUAAAUAAAUGUUUUGGGAUCACCUCUGAAGAAUCAAGACCAAUAGUGCAUUUUCAUCAUGAGGAGAUACAAGAUGUGUAUAACAUUUGGAAAUGUGUCAGAGGGUAAAUUUAAAUGUUCUUGUUGUAUUGAAAGCUAAGAACAAAUAAAUGUAGGGUGCUACUAAGGAUCUUGGAUGCCAAGAGAUAUUUUAAAGCCAAUUUGUAAAAAUGGUAAUGCAUAAAUUCCAUUUACAAUUGGGGAAUGUAGGACAAGACUUGUAAAGUAAGCCAGUUUAUCUUUGAAACAGUAUUGUGAAAUUGGCUUUAAAUAUAGCCAUUCCGAUCAAAAAUGUAUUCAUGAAGUCUGACUACACAACCCUUGGCACUGCCGUCCCACACAGUCUUUAAGGCCUUUGUCACGAGAGAAUGACAGUAUCUCAUUCAUAACUGGUGUGGGUUUAGGAGGGAGCCACACUAAGGUGAACAUUUAUGAUCCCGGAAUGUUUGUAAGCAUUGUAGCUGCACAACUGCCAUCUCCAAAUAUUUUCUUAUAAGACUGUUUUUAGAAGAAGAAAAUUGUCUAAAACAAGCAAAAACUAUGGUAUUUUCAUUUACUCAAUUUCUAGGCUAAAAGAGUUCACUAAAUAACGUUUUCCAAUCAAAUUCCUAUAGUCUUCUUCUCCAGUAGUCUAGGCAUUAAUAUGUGAUUAUUGUGUCUCUCGGCCACUGUUUUUUUUAAGUCCAUGGACUUGAGAAGUAUUCCGACACUUAUAUGGCUUCACAGAUAUAUUGCUAGUUCAGUCAUAGAUUGGAGUUUGCAUAUUGUAAUGUAAGUGUUAUGUCAACACUAUUCUAAAUAGUUUAUGACUGAAGUUUAAUUAAAUAAAAGGUUGUAAAAUGUGAUGUGUAUGUGUAUAUACUGUAUGUGUACUUUUUAAAAUAGGUAUAUGUCCUGACCCUUUUGAUACAGGUUUGAAUUUGAAAUUACAUUAUAUAAACAUAUACUUUAUUGUUCUAAAUAAAGAAUUUUAUGCACCAUC
rnacentral:lncRNA from 1 species